rnacentral:rRNA from 1 species
UACGAAGGGGGGCGAGCGUUGUUCGGAAUUACUGGGCGUAAAGGGCGCGUAGGCGGCCCUCUUUGUCGCGUGUGAAAGCCCCGGGCUCAACCUGGGAACGGCGCGCGAAACGGGGGGGGCUGGAGUUCGGGAGAGGAGCGUGGAAUUCCCAGUGUAGAGGUGAAAUUCGUAGAUAUUGGGAAGAACACCAGUGGCGAAAGGCGGCUCACUGGGCCCGUUACC